GCGAAAAAAAAUCGGCCACGACCCGCACGCACGCACAGUGCCCUCGAGCGAGAACCUCUCUCACGCACAACUCGAUCCCUAGCUCGUCUCCCCUUCUCCGCCGCCGCCGCCCGCCCGCCCGCAUCCCACCCCUUUCCUUCGUGUCCUCCCCACCUCCUCCCCUACCACUGCUCCUCCGCUCCGGCCCGGACCAUCCUCAUGCUUCCGCGGCUGUAGUCGCCUGCUCUCCAGACCUUGGAGCACCGCGGACGUGCUACAACCAUGUUGGGACGAGGCGGAGUAUGUCGCGGCGGCGGCGACGAGCACCGCGAACGCGCUACCUCCUCCGCUUCGGCCCCUCCACACCAUCUGCCGCCUCCGCCGACCUUAGUGGGCAUGCCCUGGUCGAGCCCCCCCAAAGUCGGAUGACGGCGCUGAGGAGAUCGCGUAACCCCAGGGCAGGGCGUAGCGACCGGCGAGGAGCGCCUCAAGGGCGUGGCCCCCGAUUCGUGGGUCGACAGCGCGGAGGCAAUCGUGUGCGGACAGGAUAUGGCGGUGUUGCGGCAAGCGAGGAGCGCCACUGCCGUUCGCACAAGAUCCGCCGUCUCGUCUCUGCGAUUUGACCGCCGUCGGCGGUCUGCGAUCCACUGUUCACAUCCGAACUCGCCAGAGCCGCGGUGCCCCAUGAACCGCCCGCCUCAACCAUUUCGUUUCCGUUUGAUGGUAGUGACGACGACGGCCAAGAUGUGGUAGUUCUCUGCAUGCAGUGUGGUGGCAUGGUAGAGAGGGGAAGCAGAUGGAAAACUGGCAGCGGCUCUAUCUGCGGGUGGCAUGAUGGAGAGGCUAGGGAGCAACAAAUGUUGUAUUGGUCACUUUUUCUGUCAUCUCUGUUUGCACUAAUAUGUAACUUUCGCCUGAUCAGGGGAUACUGCAAAGAACACGAGCAAAACAUUGAUAGGAGGUGAUGAGGACUAUGACCGAAGGCAUGUAUAAUACCUACAAUGAACUGUCAAGGCAUGUCUAAUCUGAACUGAAAUAUAUGUAAGACACAGAAAGCAAGCAAACAGCCGUCAAGGCAACGAGCAUGCCAUGUGAUAUACGAAAGGCACAAGAAGCAAGUAAACAACUGUAAGGCAUGUUCGUGGAGGCCAUGUGGAGGGAUGGCUUGUGCAGCCGGGAGCGAAUUGAUGCGCGGGGAAAAGUUUCCUUUACCCAACUGGUGCAGCAAAAUCUCUAUGAUACGACCAGUUUCGUCUAUAGUCAGACCAACGACGACGACGUACAAGCUGCCAACCAGAAUCAAGCUUCUGCGACUUUGCUAGUCACUGUUGGGGAUGUAUUUGUACCAUCAUAUUUACGAUCGAGCUUUGGCAAUGAACUAGUUGCCAUUGCAUGUAUGCAUGCGCAUACGCCAAGAAAGAUUGGUCUUGUUCAGCUAGGAAAAGGAAAAGAAGUACAUCUGGAACCUCUACAUGCACGUGAUUUCCUUGGUAAUUUUGGUUGGCAUGAAGCCAAAAGAUUACGACUUCGGGACUCUAAUUUCCAUGGAGAAUUAAUGUAUGGAUGCAACGUACUAGGACAUCAAAUGGAAAGUGUUAAUGUGCUGGGAUUGGUCAUGAAAAUAAAGAGGAGAUAUUUGUUUCUUUUA